AUACGUAGGGGGCGAGCGUUGUCCGGAAUGAUUGGGCGUAAAGGGCGCGUAGGCGGCGCGGUAAGUCUGGAGUGAAAGUCCUGCUUUCAAGGUGGGAAUUGCUUUGGAUACUGCCGCGCUUGAGUGCAGGAGAGGUUAUCGGAAUUCCCGGUGUAGCGGUGAAAUGCGUAGAGAUCGGGAGGAACACCAGUGGCGAAGGCGGGUAACUGGACUGCAACUGACGCUGAGGCGCGAAAGUGUGGGGAGCAAACAGGAUUAGAUACCCGGGUAGUCCACGCCGUAAACGAUGAAUACUAGGUGUAGGGGGUAUCGACUCCCUCUGUGCCGCAGUUAACACAAUAAGUAUUCCGCCUGGGGAGUACGGCCGCAAGGUUGAAACUCAAAGGAAUUGACGGGG
rnacentral:rRNA from 1 species